CAACAGUACAGAGUGGACAGCGGCUGGAAAUGGCGGUGUGCGGUGGUGGUGUACCUGUUGCAUUUGGGAUUUCACUGAGAGAAUAAGAAGGAAUCGACGAUGGACUGCUACGCAACUAUUGCACCAGUGAAGGAUGUCUGUGUGCCGGUUUGUGCUCAGUUUCUCAGCCAGCGGGCGUGAGAAAGUGUGCCACAGCAGUCUGUCUAGUGGUGCUCUUUGUUCUGGAAGGACGCAAGCAUUGCUGAGGAGCCAUUUGACCUGCCGCCACACUAAUAUUGUAUUUGGCAAAGCCGAAGGCCUCUGCAAGCAGCCAGUCAUUCCAAGUCUCAACCAAUCCUUCCUCUAGUCAGCCAAUUUCUAGUGUCUAUGCGGAAAGGACUUGCGCAAGAGUGUACACGGGACACUAAAAAAGCGACAAGGACAGGCGUAAACUUCCAACCGGUGUUCAUUACAAAAAGGUAUGUAUAUGUACUCUUGCACACUUAAUCAUAAUCUGUUACAAUCGUGCAAGUCAACAUGGUCAUCACAAAUAAACGAGUGCACCAAGGCCUAAGGCGGCUUCCCGCAUACAGACCCCAGAUAUUCAAAUUCUUUAACAGUCAGUGCUACAUAUAGGGAUGGCUUGCUAAUGCAGUUGCAUUCUGCAAUAGCCGCUGCCUCAAUGAUGAGUCUAGUGUUUUCUUUCACACUGCUUGCUAUUAUUUCUGUUUUUAAAACAGUCGAUGACAUCUGCAUUGGGAGCAAUGGAUUCCAAGGAAACCUUCUUUCCCUUUUUGUACUUUCCGAUUAUGUUCCUGUAGUCUCAAGUUUAGGGAACUUCCUAUUUGUCCCACGUAACGCUGCCCGCAGGAAAGAGGUAUGCUAUACACUAUUCCUCUUGAGCAUUUGAUGAAACCCUUUCUGUGCACAAUGUUGCAUGAUUUUGAUUGUCUGCUGACAGGGCUGGUUUUGGCACAUAACUCAGCUUGCGGGGCGUGGAAGAAAUGACCAAGACUGCAGUCCUUUGGCUUAUUUUCUUUAUUUACACCUAUGUGAUACUGUUCGCAGGAAUCUAGCAGUCAUCCCAUACAUUCACGCUAUCUUGCAUAAACUAAAGAAAAUAGGCCAAAGGGCGGGAGUAUAGGUCGUUUUUCCCGCACCCAACAAGUUAUCUCAGUUAUGUGCCAAAACCAGCCCUGUCAGCAGGCAAUCAAUUUCAUGCAACAUUGCUCACAGAAAAGCUUUCGUGAAAUGCUCGGGGGGAGUAGUGAAUAGCACACCUCUUUUCUGUGGGCAGCGUUACGUGGGGCAAAUGGGAAGGUGCCUAAAUAUGAGACUACAGGAACAUAAUACAAAAGUACAAAAGGGAGAGAGGGUUUCCUUUGAAUCCACAACUCCCAAUGCAAAUGUCAUGCACUCUGAAAAAACAGAAAUAAUAGCAAGCAACGCACAAGAAAGCACUAGGCCCAUCAUUGAGGGGGCAGAUAUCGCAUAAGUCAACUGCGUUAGCAAACUAUCCCUAGCGUUGACAUUAAAGAAGUUGCAUACCUGGGGUCUGUAUGUGGGAGGCCGCCUUAGGCCUUGGGGCGGCUUUAGUGUGCUCUUGUAACUGAUUAUGAUCAAGUGCACAAGAGUAUAUAUACAUGCCUUUUCGUAAUAAACACCAAUUGGAAGUUCGCACCUGUUCCUGUCACUUUUUUAGUGUCCCGCGUUCACUCUUGCGCUGGUCACUUCAGCAUGGAAUACCAACUAGCCCAGUCUCACACCCUGCUUUUUUCAGUAAAGCAGAAUAAACACAGGUUUUUUCAGA